rnacentral:rRNA from 1 species
UACGAAGGGGGCUAGCGUUGUUCGGAGUUACUGGGCGUAAAGGGUGCGUAGGCGGCUUUUUAAGUUUGGUGUGAGAUCUCCCGGCUCAACUGGGAGGGUGCGCCGAAUACUGAGAGGCUAGAGUGUGGGAGAGGAAAGUGGAAUUCCUGGUGUAGCGGUGAAAUGCGUAGAUAUCAGGAGGAACACCGGUGGUGUAAACGGCUUUCUGGACCAUAACUGACGCUGAGGCACGAAAGCGUGGGUAGCAAACAGG